rnacentral:rRNA from 1 species
CGGGACGGGUGAGUAACGCGUGGGUAACCUGCCUCAUACAGGGGGAUAACAGUUAGAAAUGACUGCUAAUACCGCAUAAGCGCACGGGACUGCAUGGUCUUGUGUGAAAAACUCCGGUGGUAUGAGAUGGACCCGCGUCUGAUUAGCUUGUUGGUGAGGUAACGGCCCACCAAGGCGACGAUCAGUAGCCGGCCUGAGAGGGUGAACGGCCACAUUGGGACUGAGACACGGCCCAAACUCCUACGGAAGGCAGCAG